CUGACCUGAGCUCUGUGAGCUGAUUCCACCAGUGACUGAGCACAGACCAGCACCAUGGAGCUGGGGCUGCGCUGGGUUCUCCUUGUUGCUCUGUUGAAAGGUGUGCAGUGUGAGGUGCAGCUGGUGGAGUCUGGGGGAGGCUUGGUGCAGGCUGGGGGCUCCUUGAGAUUCUCCUGUACAGCCUCUGGAUUCACCUUCAGUGAUUACUACAUGUACUGGAUCCGCCAGGCCCCAGGAAAUGGGCUGGAGUGGGUUGGUUUUAUUAGAAACAAAGCUAAUGGUCACACAACAGAAUAUGCUGCAUCUGUGAAAGGCCGGUUCACUAUCUCCAGAGAUGAUUCCAAAAGCAUGGCUUACCUGCAAAUGAACAGCCUGAAAGUGGAGGACACGGCUGUGUAUUACUGAGCCAGUGGGG